UCUUCAUGCUGCCCAAGCAGGCUCUGGCCAAGUUCUGAGACCAUGUUCUUGGAUGCUGCUCACCCUGAAGCAGGUGCCAGGCUGUACCCUCUGCAUCACGCACGUCCACUUUGUCCUUCAGAACAUCCCCUCCUACUGUCUGUCCAGCGAUGCGCUUGCCUUUGGCACAUGAAGGGAUGGAGGCUUGAGUUGGUUCUGAGACUCACACAGACUCCUGGAGUUGGGCCAAUGAUCAUUGUAUGGAAGAUAAAUGAGGCCUGUUUCAGCUGAAGAGAAACACCUGCUAGAAAGUCCCUGCCAGCUGAAGGGCUUGUUCCACCCCUUCUCUGCUUCCUCUCUGAUUACAUGAUAGCAUCUCAAAGCUCUCUCCAUCCUUCUGUCUUGUUUUCCAUUAAAAAAAAAUCAUGCAUUGUCAUAACUGUUAUUUGUAAGCUUCCAUGCUAUUUAAACCGUGAUUAAUUAUAAUACCUCACCAAAGCAAUAACAACCUCCUAAAACGCACACCAGGCCACAUUGCUCCAUUGUCUGGAGAGCUUCCUCCCCCAGUGUGCCAGGCCCUGUGUGGUACAGGUGCAGUCUGCCUUCUCACCUCUCACCCUGUCCUUACCUUCUGCUCCUGUCCUCGUGGUGCCUCCUGCUUGC
rnacentral:lncRNA from 1 species